CAGUAGCCGCGGUAAAACGUAGGGUGCAAGCGUUAAUCGGAAUUACUGGGCGUAAAGCGUGCGCAGGCGGUUAUAUAAGUCAGAUGUGAAAUCCCCGGGCUUAACCUGGGAACUGCAUUUGAAACUGGCAGGCUAGAGUCUUGUAGAGGGGGGUAGAAUUCCAGGUGUAGCGGUGAAAUGCGUAGAGAUCUGGAGGAAUACCGGUGGCGAAGGCGGCCCCCUGGACAAAGACUGACGCUCAGGUGCGAAAGCGUGGGGAGCAAACAGGAUUAGAUACCCCAGUAGUCCCUGUCUCUUAUAC
rnacentral:rRNA from 1 species